AGUGAACGCUGGCGGUAGGCCUAACACAUGCAAGUCGAACGGCAGCACAGGAGAGCUUGCUCUCUGGGUGGCGAGUGGCGGACGGGUGAGGAAUACAUCGGAAUCUACUCCGUCGUGGGGGAUAACGUAGGGAAACUUACGCUAAUACCGCAUACGACCUACGGGUGAAAGCAGGGGAUCUUCGGACCUUGCGCGAUUGAAUGAGCCGAUGUGGGAUUAGCUAGUUGGCGGGGUAAAGGCCCACCAAGGCGACGAUCCGUAGCUGGUCUGAGAGGAUGAUCAGCCACACUGGAACUGAGACACGGUCCAGACUCCUACGGGAGGCAGCAGUGGGGGAUAUUGGACAAUGGGCGCAAGCCUGAUCCAGCCAUACCGCGUGGGUGAAGAAGGCCUUCGGGUUGUAAAGCCCUUUUGUUGGGAAAGAAAUCCAGCUGGCUAAUACCCGGUUGGGAUGACGGUACCCAAAGAGUAAGCACCGGCUAACUUCGUGCCAGCCGCCGCGGUAA
rnacentral:rRNA from 1 species